GACGAACGCUGGCGGCGUGCUUAACACAUGCAAGUCGAACGGUGACCUCGAGAGCUUGCUCUUGGGUGAUCAGUGGCGAACGGGUGAGUAACACGUGAGUAACCUGCCCCAGACUCUGGAAUAACCCCGGGAAACCGGAGCUAAUACCGGAUACGAGACGGAGCCGCAUGGCUACCGUCUGGAAAGUUUUUCGGUCUGGGAUGGACUCGCGGCCUAUCAGUUAGUUGGUGAGGUAACGGCUCACCAAGACGACGACGGGUAGCCGGCCUGAGAGGGCGGCCGGCCACACUGGGACUGAGACACGGCCCAGACUCCUACGGGAGGCAGCAGUGGGGAAUAUUGCACAAUGGGCGAAAGCCUGAUGCAGCGACGCCGCGUGAGGGAUGAAGGCCUUCGGGUUGUAAACCUCUUUCAGCAGGGAAGAAGCGAAAGUGACGGUACCUGCAGAAGAAGCACCGGCUAACUACGUGCCAGCAGCCGCGGUAAUACGUAGGGUGCGAGCGUUGUCCGGAAUUAUUGGGCGUAAAGAGCUUGUAGGCGGUUUGUCGCGUCUGCCGUGAAAAUCCGGGGCUCAACCCCGGACUUGCGGUGGGUACGGGCAGACUAGAGUGUGGU
rnacentral:rRNA from 1 species